CUGACCUCGUGAUCCGUCCGCCUCGGCCUAUGGAAGUGCUGGGAUUACAGGCAUGAGCCACCGCACCCGGCCGAGGGUGGGGGUUUUAAAGGUAAUUUGGUGAGCAGGAGGCUGGAAAAUAGGGAAUGCUGAUUGGUCGUGAAAAGGAUGUAUCACAGGGAGUCUAAGCUGUCUUCUUGCACUGAGUCAGUUCUUGGCUAGGGGCCACUGGAGCAGGUGAGCCAGUUUAUUGGUCUGUGUGAUGCCAGCUAAUCCAUCAGAAUGAAGGGUCUCAGAAAUACCUCAAACACCAAUCUUAGGUCUUACAACAAUAUUAUCCACAGGAGCAAGUGGCAAGGUUGGGAAUCUUGUGUCCUCUGGCCGCAUAUUUCCUGAACCAUAAUUUCUAAUCUUGUGGCUAAUUUCUUAGUUUUACAAAGGCAAUCUGGUUCCCAAGCAAGGAGAUGAUUUCUUUUGGGAAGCGGCAGUUACAACUUUUGCUUUAAAGCUAAACUAAACUCCUUCUAAUAUUAGUAAGACCUAUAACCAGGAAUGAACAGGGGUAGCUUGGAGGCUAAAGAAAACGUGGAGUUGCUUAGAUCUGAUCUCUUUCACUGUCAUCAUUUUCACUGUUAUAAUUCUUGCAAAGGAGUUUUCAGAUGUAGAGUCAUAAUUUUAGCUCCUGGCAACAUUUAUGUUGGAAUUUGUAUACAGCAACUAAAUCACUGGAACAGGAUAAUUGGUUGAGGAUUUACUAACUGUUCCAUCAGGCAGAAGUGGCACUCUUUUGAUUUAACUGAAAGCACUAUUUCUUGAGCCAUGGAAACUGAGUAUAGCAAUGAUAUGUGAUCUAAAGAAUGUUCCCACUCUGCUUCUUCUCUCUAGUGAAGUCCUGCCACGCACCUUACUACUUCCACUGCCACUUUUUCCUCCUCCAAAUGUGGCUAAGCAAUUACUUCCCUUAUGGAAGACUGCAAAGAUGAAAACAUGGCUAGGUUGAUGGGGUCACUCUGAGACAAGGUAGACUUAUGUUAUACUUUUUGCAAAGGUGACUUCAGAUAUGGAAUCAUAAUUUUAGCUGCUGGCAGCAAUGACGUUGGAAUUCACAUACAGACACUAAAUGACCAGAAAAGGACAAGUCGUUGAAGGUUUACUAAUUGUUCCCUCAAGUGGAAGUGCCAUUCCCUAUUGAUUUAACUGACAGCAUUAUAUCCUCAGCCAUGGACACUGAGUACAGCAAUAAUGUGAUCUAAAGAACUUUCUACUCUGAGGGCCAGGUGCAGUGGCUCACGCCUGUAAUCUCAACACUUUAGGAGGCCAAGGAAGGCAGAUCACAUAAGGUUUCUUCCUGAAGGACUUGAAGUCACUUCCUCUACCCAGGGUCUCACCCUGUGGCCCAGGCUGCCCUCCAGUGAUGCCAUCAUGAGUCAGUGCAACUUCAAACUCCCCGGUUCAAGUGAUCUUCCAUCCUGACCUCCAAAAGGGCUGGAUUAUACAUAUAAGCCAUGUCACACUUUAUAUGUUUCUAGGGAAGCUUUUCUAAGAAUAAAUACAUUGGAACUAGG